AGAUUGAACGCUGGCGGCAGGCCUAACACAUGCAAGUCGAGCGGCAGCACGGGUACUUGUACCUGGUGGCGAGCGGCGGACGGGUGAGUAAUGCCUAGGAAUCUGCCUAGUGGUGGGGGAUAACGUUCGGAAACGGACGCUAAUACCGCAUACGUCCUACGGGAGAAAGCGGGGACCUUCGGGCCUCGCGCCAUUAGAUGAGCCUAGGUCGGAUUAGCUAGUUGGUGAGGUAAUGGCUCACCAAGGCGACGAUCCGUAACUGGUCUGAGAGGAUGAUCAGUCACACUGGAACUGAGACGACGGUACCAGACCUCCGUACGGGAGGCAGCAGGUGGGGUAAUAGUUGGACAAGUAGGGCGAAAGCUAGGAUCCGAGCCAUUAGGCCCGUACGU
rnacentral:rRNA from 1 species